rnacentral:tRNA from 1 species
GGUGGUCCAGUGGCUAAGACUCUGCACUCCCAAUGCAGGGCAUCUGGGUUUGAUUCCUAGUC